AAAUAUACAUAGCUCAUUCACAUUUUAGUUCCCUAAUAUGUGGGUUUUCUACACAUGAUGUGUGCAGAUCUGUGAAAGAAGAGACGAAGAACAAUUUUAGCUGAAGAGUUGAAGAAGACCAAGGUGAAUUCCAUCCCUCUUGCGAAUCCAAUCAAGUUUGCGCUUGCAUUUUGGUGAUAUGGUUUGUGUUGGACCAUGUUCUCUAGCUAUCAAUGGACUUUCCCGAGUAGUUUUGCUGAUUUGUCAUUAUGGAUUUCACACACCAUCUACCUGAUGAAUGGCUAGAUGAUUUAUUUUUGUUGCCAUAUAGACCAUUGACUGGUGUGCAGGAACCCUUCUAAUUGGUGCUCUAGUUGUGCUUUUUUUGUUGUAGAAUAAUAAUUCAAGUGGAUGGCCGAUGCGUCUUGUUGUUUAGCGGUAUGAUGUGAUGGAAGUAUGUUCUAUAUUGCAAGGUGAUGGGCUGCUGAUUUUUGUUGUCCACUUCUGUUGAUUUCUACCGACUUCCACUUAAUUUCAUAUCUGUUGUAUAAGUAAUGCACUAAUAUACAGUACAUGAAAAAAUGAUCCUGUCUUAUAUGUCAAAAGUAUGGUUUUGCUACAGAUUUGUUGUGUAUGCAUGUUAGAUCUUUGAGAAAAUGGCUUCUAUACCACUGAGACAAGCAUCAACUGCUCAUUUGCCAUCGAACAAAGCUCCAGUGCUCAUAUACCAGUAACAAACGAAUUCUAGUGCUCAUAUGCCACUGGCUGUUAGAACAAUGUUAGCUCACUGUUUUCAGAGGCCAAAAUGACUUGUUUGCCCUCAGUGGCAAAUAAGCAACAAUGGGAGAACAUAUCUAGGAAUAAACUGACAGCAUUUUGCCUGUAAUUUCAGCAUUUCAGCAAAACAACAGUGCACAGAUAAUAGUAUCAGCAUAUAUAUACUUCAGCUACAGAAUAUUACUCAUCAAAGUUCACAUCAUUUAGAAACCAUUCAGCAAACACCAAAUUCAGUCAUGCAUAAGUAAACUCAAGUUUCCAUCCCUACCAAAAGACCACAACCGAGAGUAGGUUGUUCACAUAAGCAAAGUCUAUAGAUAAAUUAGACAUGAAGAGUUGCGAUAUGUAAAUAAUAUGUGAAAUUUUGCUGAAUAUCACAGUUUCAGCUUCUUCUUGCUUCGAGUGCUCAUUGCAGGGCUGUCAGGUGCAACACUCCUCCUGCUUCGAGUGCCCAUUGCAGGGCUGUCAGGCGCAACAGAUAUGGCCUUUGAUCUACAUUAAAACAUCAGAUUACAUACUAUGAUGAUCCUCGCAGAAUAUACGUUGCUAACUUACACAUUGUCAAAGAAACAUUUCAUUGAAGAUUGUGCAGCUUUCAUACCUUGUAGAUUUAGAGGUAGUCUUUGAUGAUUUCGACUUGGCGACAUUGUCUUCAAUUGCAUCACUCGGACAUAGAAGUAGAGGCAGUGCAGUUUCAGUUUCAAUUGAACAUGGAAGAACAACCUUUGUAAUGGGUUUUUUCUUUCUUUUGUCCCUGCAUUAGUUUCACAUAUUAGCAUCAUUAGGACAAGAGUAUGAUGAAAACAGUAAUAUUGAAGCAAGCACUACCUUUUUUGCUUUGCUACUUCAGCAUAGGCAGCUAGUGCUUCCGGAGCAGCAUCUUUACAGCUUUGCCAUCUAUGUCCAUAGGCCUUGCAAAUUGGACAUUGGUGCUGGCCUUUAUUUCCCUUGCCCUUGCUAUUCUCGGCACCACUUUUAUGCCUCUGUACUUUUGGCCUCCCAGGGGCCCUCCUAAGGAUUGGGGGAUUCAAAAUGAAAUCUUUGUUCACACUUGGCCAUUGAGACAUGUCGGUCAGGCCAGGAAGAACAUGGGCAUAAGCUGCAGUGAACUUGGCAACGCUGUAAUAGUCAUCAACAAAAUCUGCUAUGGUGACUCCCCUAAUUCCAGUCAUAAAGUUGAUUGCAUGUUUGCAAGGCUUCCCAGAGACUUGAAAUGCCCGGCAUGUGCAUGUCCUAUUUGAUAGAUCAGUAAUGUGGCGCUUGCCACCCAGCACAGCACACUCGGCAACCUCUGCAAUCAUGUCAUCUAUUCUCUCAUAUUCAAUGUCUAGCCCCCUACUUUUUUCAUUCAGCUCAUUCAUGACACUUGGAAGUAUACGUCGACCUUGCAAUUUCCUAGCAACCCUUCUCCUCUUCUCAUGCUUAACGGUAAUCUUCCUCCUGAUCUUGUCCAUGAGCUGAAACAACAUUAAACCUUUGUGCUUGUGGAUCCAGUUGUUGAAACACUCGGCCAAAUUAUUUGUCACAUAAUCCACUUUUGAGGAACAUGAAUAUUUGCUCCUUGACCAUAGCCUGCUGUGGUACUUCUUUAAGUAUGUAAUUGCAGCAGCCCUUUUCUGCUCUAUGGCUGCCAUGUGAUAGUCAAAAGCGCGAGGAGUCCAUGAAAAAGCAGCUGGCCACAAAUGAUCAUCAAAAACUUUGCCAUGAAACUUUUUUUUGAAGUUCACAACCAAGUGUCGCAUGCAUUCCCUAUGUUCUGCAUACUCAAACACCUUUUCAAUUGCAGUGUCAAUCCCUUUACCUGCAUCUGAACAUAUGGCUAGGCCAGGGGGAGAGCCAAUAGCCUCACGAAGCUUCUCCAUAAACCACACCCAACUUUCAGUAGUUUCCGCAUCAAUAACUCCAUAUGCUACAGGGUAUAGCCAAUUGUGCCCAUCAAUAGCACAAGCAGUAGCUAACUGGCCUCUAUACUUGCCUGUCAAAUGAGUGCUGUCUAUCGCCAAGUAAGGUCUGCAUCCAGCCAAGAAUCCAUCGCAGAGAGGCUUCAAUCCAACAAACAUCCGUAUAAAAUACUUUUUCUGAUCAUACUCCAUGUGGUCAAUCGCAACUAUGCUUCCAGGAGACCUCUUCUCAACCUCCGCUUUCCAGGCAUACAGCUUGUCAAAAGACUCAUCCCAAUCACCAAACAACUUAGCCAUUGCUAGUCCUUUGCCCCUGAAUACUUUUGUAUAAUUGAUCUCGAUCUUGUACUUGUCAUGUAGCCUCCUCUGUAACUCCUUUGGGCGAACACUAGGAUCUUCUUUUAUCCAGUCCAUGACUUUCUCACACACCCAUGCCUUUGAAGCAUUAUGCUGCUCCUUUUUUUUCUUUGUACUAGCACAUGUGUGCUUCUCCAAAUGAACCUUGACCUGCAGUAAAUUGUAAUGGGUAAGAAAAUAGAGUCAACUCCAUUUAAUAACAGCUAGAGUAUGCAACUAACUAAAAUAUAUACCUCCAUAGUUUCUCCAUCAUCCAACCUCCCAACAUGAAUUCUCCAUGUGCAAUCUUUAGACUCGCGACAAUGAGCCCUGAAUCGUGUAGGCUCACUUUUGUCAACUUGAAAAUCAAACUCUUUCUUUAUGGCAUAUGUAGCAAUUGCCAACCUAAACUCUUCAAUAUUAGGAUACUUUGCACCAACAUGCAUUGGUGGGUUUUCUUUAUCAUACACUAUUUCUGGAAUAACAUCUGGUCUAGCAUCUUCCGUAACCCACUCCUCGUCAUCGCUGCUAUCCUCUACAUGCUCACUAUUUGGUAUAUCUUUUUUUUCUCCGAGCUCAUCAUCACUAUCUGAACCAGCACUAUCAAUUGAGUAUUGGUCCUCCUCUCAUCUACACCAACAUGUUCAUAUUCUUCAUGUGGAUUUGCAAGAUAUGUAUCCAUAAGGCAUACUUUAGCUUCAUCAUUUACAUUACUUGCUUGACUAGGCAGUGCUAUAGAUGGUGUUUGAUUCAAUGGAGUAAAAUGCACAUCAACACUAUCACUUGGGUCAGAUUGUUUGAUGAUCAGAUUACCGCUUCUAUUUUGAUGAAAAGACUACAUUUUCAGGCAUUCUUCAUCAUUUGACACACAAAUAUUGUUGCCACUAAUAGAGUCAACGUACUCAAGAAUUAUAUUCUCCACUGAAAAUAGUGGAAAAGUUCCAGCAAUGGAAGCCACUAGAUCCUUCAAUCUUGAGCUACUACCCUCAACAAUAUCCCAAGUAAAUGUAGAAUCCCCACAGAUUUCGGUUCCACCGCCACAAAUCUUCACCUCUACCGUGUAAGUACAUGAUUGGAUCAUCCUGUGGAUGAUGAAACCAUGUCAAUAUUUGUAUGCUCCUAUCUAAAACUUUAGCAAAAAUAGAUAGACUGAAAAAUUACCUAGCACAAAUAUGAGAGAGAGAGGUGGAGCCGCAUUCGUCAGCCACGCCGUCCUCCUCAUGGAGCUUGGAAACUUGGGGCAGAGGAGCUGCAGCGAGUGUGCCCACGUACGGAAUGAUCUCUUGGAGGGCCUCGACCGUGGACAUCCCUGACCCGCUCUCCACAUCGCUGGAAUCCCCGAUUCUAGGGUUCUGCGCGACAUGGUCGCGGGGAGAGGUCGGCGCUGCUAGUUGGGCUAAGGCAGUUGAAGCCGCGGAGGUCGGGAGGGAGGGAAGCAGGGCCACGACGGGAGGCGGCGGAGGCCGGGGCUGGGGGAGCGGCGCCGUCGGCGGUGCCUCCAUAGGCUGGGGCUCGGGGAGCGGCGGAACCUUCGGCGUCGGCAAAGGCUGGGGGAGCGGCGGAUCCUUCGAGGAGUAAUUAGCCUGAGGGAGCGGGAGGGGGAGGAGGGGUAUGCGCUGGGGGAGCGGCGGCGGCGACGGUUCCGCCAUGGCUGCUGCUGUGUGCGUGCGUGAACUGGUCGGGUGGUGUGGUGUGCGUUGAUUUUUCUUUUUUUUUUCUAUUCUAAGAGAAGAGAUAAGACGAGGGUAAAAUUGGAAUUCUCAGAUUGACUGACAGGAAAACGUAGAGAUUCUGACGAUGGACUAACGGCGAUGGCAAAUAAGCACUAGAAUUCGUUUGUGUCUGGUAUAUGAGCACUGGAGCUUUGUUCGAUGGCAAAUGAGCAAUUGAUGCUUGUCUCAGUGGUAUAGAAGCCAUUUUCUCUAGAUCUUUCUAGGUUCUACUUUCUUAAUAUUUCAGUUCAUGACAUCAAAUUGCAGCUGUACCAAAGUGCAGACAUUAAAAUAGUUUAGAACAGAACAAUUAGAUGCUUUUAGUUCUGAGUGCAUGGAUGCUUUGGUCAAUGUUUAGAAAUGCAUUGCACAUAUAGUUAUGUUAACAUGUUUGCUAGAGGGAUCAGAAUGGUCUCCGAGUCGUUCAAAACUGAAGGCAGCACCAAUGUAUCACAUUUGUAAAAUCAUGCAUAUACAGGAGCUCAUCAGUCUGGCGACCUAAAUUUCUCCCCAACUUAUCUCUUUUUGUUCAGUCCAGAAUUUCAGGUUUCCUGUGGUUUCUGUUGCCAAGGUUUGAUCUUUAUUUUUGUGUUGUGCAGAUGAUUGCAGCUGAUGCCGAGCCUCUCGAGAUCUGAGGGCCGUAGUAUUCAGAAUUACCUACAGCUUGAGUAGAUACACAUUAUUCACUGCAUAUUUUAUUCCAAUGGUUUUACUUCCACACCACUGGUUUGUCUAUAUUAAAUCACAAGAACUUCAUGAGCUUAAUUGGUUACUGUGUAGAAGGGCAUUCUUUCAAGGAGCUUUAGAUUUUUUGAAUAUGCUCCCUGCUGGACCCUUUUCGGUAUGUACAGAAUUUGUUGAGAAUGGGUGUGAAAAAAUUGACCAUCCAGUGGAUUUAUACGCACGGUAUGUACAGAAUUCUGCAACCACAAUAGAAGUAAGGCCAUGGAGCAAGAAUUCUGUUGGGCAUCCUUUGCAUUUAUCUUGUCAGGUUCCCAUGCUUCAUAGCAUGUGUGUAAGCAUAGCAGUACACACAUACACUGCAGUUCAUACUGCCAUUUAAUAGGGGAUGCAUUAGGGUACUUUAUUUCCAUUAUAAACUGAUAAUAGUUAUGAGUUUAGUAAGGUAACAAUAAUCUGGGUUAUAGCAGAAUAUAGAUGUGGUAUGCUUGUAUGAGUAGAAUGCAGAGUUUAUAAAUGAACUAAAAUCUGAGAACAGGAAGUGGUAGGUUUAAUUUCAGUUAGAAGAUUAGGUGUACUGCAGUAUCAUAUAUUCAGGUAAUCCCUUGCAUUUUUUUGCCAUGUUCAGGCUUUAUACAUCGUUUGUAUAUGCAUAAAGUACGCCACAUAAACUGGAGUUCAUAGUGUCAGGAGUAAGAGAGGUGCAACUAAGUACUAGCAUGUUACAGGAUAAGAACGACUGUUUAGUUUAACUCCAAAGAGGUUAGAUGAAAUGAGUUCUUGAUAUAUCUGAACUCUAGAUUAUAAGAUGCAUCUUCUUACUCUUCCUGAGAUCACGGUUAUCAUAACUGGACGUUCGUUUGUUUGUCGGAAGUUUUAUCUCUUCUCUACAGUCAAAGCUCAUGUGCAAUUUGGAGAAAAAUGCACACAUGCUGUCGCCGCAUUUGACGAUUCCUUUUAGGUAUCUAACCAAUAGCGGCCUAUGUUUCCUGGUCAUUUUUCUUUUGGAAAUGGAAGUUGUUGCUUCCUAGGCGAGCUGAGGUGAUAACUGAACUCUCUUCUACUAUUGAGCAGAUUCAGUAUUCACGUUUAUUUUCAUUAGCCCAAGGAUAGUUUUUUUGUGUUGUUGUGGCUGUGGGCAGCUACCGAAAAAAGAAAAGAGGAUGAGCGAGACUACUGCAGUGAGAGACGGCGGCCACGAGAGCUAUGGAUGCAGGAGAGGGUUCAUGUUGUUUAUAUAUUUCCUCUAGGCCAUGUGUCUUUCCAUCCCCCUCUCCAGGAGAGGGUUCAUGUUAUUUAUUUUAUUAGUCAAAUAUAAUAUGAGGUCACCUACCAUCAUCAUUCUUGAUUACAGUCUCGUACGAAAGUAGUCCGAUUAGUUGUAGUAAUUCAUAAAUAUUUUUGGUAUGGUUCUUAUUUGGUUUCAAGACACAGAAAUUUGAAAGGCAUAUAUAAGAGAAAAAUCCCUGGCAUUACUUCAAAAUCGUGAUCUUUAUUUGGUUAGUAAGGCCUUCCUUUUGUGGCUACAAUUUUUUUUCUAUUGUGAUGUUUGAAACAAUAUUUUAUACUUAUAAUGAUCUAGAAUACAACAGAUCAAUGAUAUAUACAAAGAGACACAAUAGGAGUUGACUGGAUACCUAGCUUUUGAAAGGACUGAUAUAUACAAAAUAUUAUUGACUAGAACAGGAGAGAUGCAAUCUUAUGGAUAAUUCAAUAUUUGCAAGAAACUUUCCAGCUUGGCCCUCCUAUUGCUCAUCUUGAGAUUUAUUUCCUUCGUUUCAGUGCCUGCUUUUGAUGAUAGGAAACUAACAAGGCAGAAGGUACUUCCCAUGGUUGAUUUAUUAUAUUUUUGUAGAAACUGGAUAGAGAACAUACCAUGCACUUUCUUAUAAUCUUUUGGCUGGCCCUGCAAUUUUGGCUUUCUUUCAGGACAGAGGACACACGAUGCUUUAUCGGUUCUUACCAUGUGCCUGUUAUUUUAUUUUGCAUUUUUUAUGCAUCACAUGAUUUCUUUUACAACAAGUGAUCCUAAUUCUCACUGGUCGUUGGCAGCUUUUCUGUUUCUUCAUGACAAGAAAACCAUAUAGCGCUUGUGCACUUUAGCCUUGUCCUGAUUACUAGAACUGCUUUGAUGGUGCUCUAUUAUAAGUGCCUUGCUUGCACCAGUACUCAUGGUUGUCUUCUCUUUGUUUGCACUGUAGGCAAUGUGGUAGACGCUGUACUUGCAGGCGGUCUUUAUCGAUGUUGGUCUAGCUGUAUUGUCUAACGACACUUCAUGCGGUCCUCAUGUAAUAUCUUCUUAUUGUUCAAUGCUAUGAUCCACAGUGUGAUACUGAAAACCUUGAUUAAUGUUGUGUUACAUUUUGUUGCAAUUCUAUUUUUCCUUGAGAUUGUGGUUAUAAAGAUAAAACCGAUUGAUUUAAGAUAUGUUUUUUAUACGUAAGGGUCUAAAUUCUUGGUGUCUGUGUUUGGCCAGACAAAGCUUACUAAAAAGAUACACAUACUUUUAGCUUCAUGAUUUUGAAUGGGACUUUGUGAUAUCAAAUUAGAAUGUGUAUAUACAUUUCAUUAUAGACAAUAAAUUCUUGGCGUGUGUGCUUGGCCAGACAGAAGAUUACUAAAAGGAUACACGUGCUUUUAGCGGCAUGAUUUUGAAUGGGACUUUGCGCUAUCAAAUUAGAAUGUGUAUAUACAUUUCAUUGUAACAACAAAAUACCUUUUUCCUACUAAAGGGGAUCAUAUUUGUUACAUACAUUUUGUUUCAAAUAGAACUCCAUGCCAUCAAAUUUAAAUAUGUAUAUACAUCUCAUUGUAGAAUAGAAGCCCCCCAUUUUUCUAAUUAAGAGAUUAAAUUUGUUGUCAUGUGUGCUUGCCCGUAACUAAAUAAGUAAACCAUGGAUUUCUUUUCACCGCUCCCUUUAGAGGAAAUUGACAGGUAUGAGUAGGAGGAAAUAUCAGGUGAUACGGGAGCUGAAAUGCUCCCAUGCUAUGAUGUGAUCUCGGCCAAUAUCUGUGGGUUGUGGACCAGGGCGUGAUUAUGGGCUUCCUGAAGGGCUUUUCUGAAAAUAUUCUGGGGCUCCUGGGCUGACCAUUGGAUGUGAGAUCCAAUGGCGAGAACACAUCGUAGCACCGUAUCAGUAGAUCGAGGUCAGAUCAGGUCGUACUUUUCAUAUACAUUAGACCUUUGAUAACGCGCGUUGCCGUGUUCAUCCAUUUUGAAAUAAAUACAUAUAAAUAUUAGACAAAAUUUGGAUGAAUUAGAUGCCUCAAAAUAGAUGAGGAUUAGCCGUUAAAAACUGCAUAAAUCAUUCCAUUAAAUUGUACAAGGACAAGGUAGCUACAUCCAAUCCAAAUGCGAAGAUACAUAAAAAAGACACACCUCUAAGUUAUAACACCAUCAUGGAGUAUCUUUUCUCCCAACAUAUCUUUCCCUAAUAAUAAUAAACCAGCUAUUGUUCCUGGUCGUACGUCGUCGUCAAUUUUACAAAAACAUCCUUGUAAUUUUUGGUAUUCAACCCGCGGUCCUUUUUAAAGUGAGAAAAUGUUUCGAGCCCAGAUCUGGCCCACCCAGGCCCGAGUGCCGCCGCCGCCACUACCAGUGCCCACAGAGCGCUCGACCUCGAGCUCCUUCUCCCGUGCGCCUCCUCCCCGGCCUCCCUCGCGCGUCGUCCGGCAACCACCGCCGCCACCGGCGACCACCCAGGUCAUGCCGCCGCUCCCCUGCCUUCUCUCUUUCUACUCUUUCUCUAAUCUCCUUGUCUCUCCUUCUCUCCUGGAGCUCAGCGCCAGCGCCAUGGAUGCCCAGUUCUCGAGCUCACCUUGGAGGUUCAAACGCCGCAACGGGACCUCCACCGGCCAGAUCCGGCGCCUCCCUCCCGGAUCCGCGCGCCCUCCACCUCCUCUACCCGAUCCGGCGCUGCCCACCUCAGCUCCUCCUCUCCUCCGUGCGCCCGAGCUCCUCGCUAUGCGUCGCCCGGGAGGGCUCGCGCUCGCUACUUGACCAGAGCCACCACGUUGCAUUCUCCGGCGACCUCGCCGUCCCCUCUGCACUGCCCUCCACCUCAACUGAUGUCCAUCUGAUUGUUCCAUGUUAUACUAUCUGUUGAAGAAAAUAAAUCUGUAUUAUUUACCUUGAUUUUUCUGAUUGUAGAUAAAUAACAUGGCUGAGAAAGUUCCUCCAAUGAAAGGAGGAGGAGUAUAGUCUUGGCCGUGGCUGGGAAGGAAGGAGAACAGGUCCCUGCAGUUAUUUGUCAUAUUGGAUACUUUACAAACAUUCUGUAAAUUGGUAUCAGUUGCACACUUUUUGUUUAUCUCCAUAUCUAUGACGACUACCCACUCCAAAGCAUCCCCACGCUAAUUUGAAAUAAAAGGAGAAGACCAGAACCAUGAUUUUUAUUCAAUGGUGGUUGAUUAGUAGGUAUGAUCCAAUCAAAUGUGUCCAGCUGUCCUCGUGUUCAUUUCCAACCUUUGAAACUCAGUUUUCAAAUUUAGAAAUCCAACAUAUAUAUUCCAGUACAUGAUUUUAUUUGAUGAUGGUUUAAUUUAGUAGCUACGAUCUAAUCAAGCUUGUCCAACUCUCCCGACAGUGUUCCUCUCCAACCAUUGAGGCUCAGUUUCCAAGUUCUGACCUAGCAUCAAUCCAUCAUGUAAAUUCCCAGUACAUGACUUUAUCUCACUGUGGUUAAUUUAUCAAAGGAGUUGUACGCCGUUGUUUGAAGCGGAUCAGGUGGCCGCCUCUGUCUGCGAGGCUCCCACAAGUAAUAUAGUUGCGGCCUGGCGCUGCAACAAUUUGCUACCACGGCGCCAUUCAACUUCCUCACCAGUCGCUCCUAUGCCCACUCACAAGCAAGUAAAACUUUGCAUCCUUCAAUAAUCUGCUAUAGAUCAAAUACUCAUAUAAUUUAUCUCAAGUAUCACAGUCCAAAUCAUUGAUGUAUUGUUUGUGCUUCUAUCAUGCUAGAUUUUGUUGCAAGUUCAUUGCAUGCGUAAGCAAAUUUAGAGUGUUGAAGUCAUAGUGAAUUAAAUAACAUUUGAGACCUCUGUCUAACAACCUUUGUGCAAGUCCGAGAUGAACAGGGCACAUAGGUUUUCCAAGAUUGAAAAUUCAUGAAUAAACAGUUAUGAUGCGAAUUUACGUAACCUGGAAUCUUCUGUGAUUCAAAGUAAACCAAUAAACAGGAAUUUUAUGGACUUCUAGGUCAUUUUUCCUUUGGUAACAGUUAUGUUAGUUCAAAACAAUUUUUCAGUGCCACGAUUAGGCUUCCAAGGGUUCAGAGUAUGACGAAGAAGCCUUUUAUAUCACACACUAUAUAACAUCAUGGAAUCACAACCUUAUAACAAAUAAUUUAAGAGGUUAUGUUCUGGUUUGCUGUAUCUCCACCAGUUUGGGUUGGUCUGAUGGCUAUCCUAAACAGAAUAGGGAAUUAGGAGUACUUUAGUUGGUAUUGAAAGUGGUAUGUUUGCUUUCGAGUUGAAAAUCUUGCAAGUUUGGUCCUGGGAUAUUUAAUGCUCCCUUUUCUUAUUAUCUUCCAAUCAUACUUUACAUAUUUAGUUUUUUACUUUCUCUUGACAAGUGAACUGAAUUAUUCAUGGAGAAUCUGGUUAUAGUAAAUUUUAUUAUGGAGAUUCAUCUGAUGUAAUAUAAUAGCUUUAUUUGCUAAAAUCAGUACAUAACUAUCGUGUUGUAUGGUUUCAACAUGUAGAGUUUUGCAAGUGAGAGUUACAGGAAAUCACUAUUGCAAGAUAGCAUUCAGUUAACACACGUACAAUCGACUGAUCAUUGUUUCUUUUUUUUGCUAAUUUAAUUUGAAAAAGCUAUUGCAAACAUUUUUUUCUUCUGAAAUUAUAUACUCUAUUUAUUUCUAAUGUGAUUUUGUUACUGUUUGUAUGGUAUUUCUCUGCCUAAAUUUUUUGUUACAUAAAUUAAUCUGCAUAUAUGUGUGCAAGCUGUGAAUCGACAAACAGCCCAGAAAAUAUGGCAUGCUACAUACCCUGUGACAGUACAUUAUCAGAAAUACUUAUAUUCAGUGUGUCAUGUGUGCUCAGUCAUUUGUGUCAUGUUCAGAUUUUAGAAGUCAAAAUUCUAGCUUUAGCUCUAUAUUUAAGAAUUUUUCUACGCCAAAUGCAAGAAAAAUAAAGCGUCCUGCUGCUCUCAUUCUGAGGAAGUUCUGAAAAUUGAGGCAUUUGUAUGAAUUUCUACUCUUCAUUAUAAAUUAUUCUUUCAA